GAUGAACGCUGGCUACAGGCUUAACACAUGCAAGUCGAGGGGAAACGACGGGGAAGCUUGCUUCCCCGGGCGUCGACCGGCGCACGGGUGAGUAACGCGUAUCCAACCUGCCUCUGACUGAGGGAUAACCCGUCGAAAGUCGGCCUAAUACCUCAUGGCAUCGUCUGCGGGCAUCCAACGACGAUUAAAGAUUUCAUCGGUCAGAGAUGGGGAUGCGUCUGAUUAGCUUGUUGGCGGGGUAACGGCCCACCAAGGCGACGAUCAGUAGGGGUUCUGAGAGGAAGGUCCCCCACAUUGGAACUGAGACACGGUCCAAACUCCUACGGGAGGCAGCAGUGAGGAAUAUUGGUCAAUGGGAGAGAGCCUGAACCAGCCAAGUAGCGUGCAGGAUGACGGCCCUAUGGGUUGUAAACUGCUUUUAGGCGGGGAUAAAGUGAGGGACGUGUCCUUCAUUGCAGGUACCGCAUGAAUAAGGACCGGCUAAUUCCGUG
rnacentral:rRNA from 1 species